rnacentral:rRNA from 1 species
CCUACGGGUGGCUGCAGUGGGGAAUAUUGGACAAUGGGCGAAAGCCUGAUCCAGCCAUGCCGCGUGUGUGAAGAAGGCCUUCGGGUUGUAAAGCACUUUCAGUGGGGAAGAAAGCCUUGGGGCUAAUACCCUCGAGGAAGGACAUCACCCACAGAAGAAGCACCGGCUAACUCCGUGCCAGCAGCCGCGGUAAUACGGAGGGUGCGAGCGUUAAUCGGAAUUACUGGGCGUAAAGCGCGCGUAGGCGGUCUGAUAAGCCGGUUGUGAAAGCCCCGGGCUCGACCUGGGAACGGCAUCCGGAACUGUCAGGCUAGAGUGCAGGAGAGGAAGGUAGAAUUCCCGGUGUAGCGGUGAAAUGCGUAGAGAUCGGGAGGAAUACCAGUGGCGAAGGCGGCCUUCUGGACUGACACUGACGCUGAGGUGCGAAAGCGUGGGUAGCAAACAGGAUUAGAUACCCGGGUAGUC